AAGAGCAAGAAAAUGAAAGUUCGUGUUUUCACCAUGUCAUUCAUUUAUGAAUGUCAGUUUCAAACUAUAUAUAAUUAACAAGCUAGAUAUUUAACUCCAAACUAAAUCUU